GACGAACGCUGGCGGCGUGCUUAACACAUGCAAGUCGAACGGAAAGGCCCUGCUUUUGUGGGGUUCUCGAUUGCCGAUCGCGUGAGUAACACGUGUGUAACCUGCCCUUGUCUUUCGGAUAACUUCACGAAACUGGGGCUAAUACCGGAUAGGAUCUCCUGCUGCAUGGUGGGCGUUGGAAAGUUUCGGCGGUUGGGGAUGGACUCGCGGCUUAUCAGCUUGUUGGUGGGGUAGUGGCUUACCAAGCCUUUGACGGGUAGCCGGCCUGGGAGCGUGACCGGGGACAUGGGGACUGAGGGAGGGACCAGACGGGUACGGGAGGCAGCAGUGGGGAAUCUUGCGCAGUGAGCCGACGCCUGAGGCAGCGACGCCGGGUGCGGGAUGACGGCCUUCGGGGUGUAAACAGCUGUCGCCUGUGACGAAGCGUUAGUGACGGUAAUGGAUAAAGAAGCACCGGCUAACUACGUG
rnacentral:rRNA from 1 species